GCAGUCGUUGCCGAGUGGUUAAGGUGAUGGACUAGAAAUCCAUUGGGGUCUCCCCGUACAGGUUCGAAUCCUGUCGACUGCG
rnacentral:tRNA from 1 species